rnacentral:tRNA from 1 species
GUUGUGGCUCAGUGGUACAGUGCUCGCCUAGCACAUGUGAGGCUGUAGGUUCGAUCCUCAGCACAACA